rnacentral:rRNA from 1 species
GACGAACGCUGGCGGCGUGCUUAACACAUGCAAGUCGAACGGUAAGGCCCCAGCUUGCUGGGGUACACGAGUGGCGAACGGGUGAGUAACACGUGGGUGACCUGCCCCGCACUUCGGGAUAAGCCUGGGAAACUGGGUCUAAUACCGGAUAGGACCGCACCGUGAGGGUGUGGUGGAAAGUUUUUCGGUGUGGGAUGGGCCCGCGGCCUAUCAGCUUGUUGGUGGGGUAAUGGCCUACCAAGGCGGCGACGGGUAGCCGGCCUGAGAGGGUGGACGGCCACAUUGGGACUGAGACACGGCCCAGACUCCUACGGGAGGCAGCAGUGGGGAAUAUUGCACAAUGGGCGGAAGCCUGAUGCAGCGACGCCGCGUGGGGGAUGACGGCCUUCGGGUUGCAAACUCCUUUCACCAUCGACGAAGGUUUUCUGACGGUAGAUGGAGAAGAAGCACCGGCUAACUACGUG